CUCAGAUACAUGAUAUAGCCAGUCAAGACACUCACUCAGGAUUUGCCACAACUCUGCUCUAUUUGGAGUCACUUAUCCUGAAGUGAGGAAGUGCUGAAUUGCCACUCAAGCCAUGGGAAGUAUAAUGGGUGAUGUAUUCCGAAAGAGAGGUUUCUUUGUAUAUGGGUGGAUUGUUUUCAGAGAGAAGCUCCUUUAUUGGCCCAAAGGGUUUGGUUUUUUGCAUCCGGCUCCAGGUGAAAAAGCAUGCGACUGAAACCCUCGGUCCGUCCCGCCCAGCGAGUACUCGGUGCUGCACGCUUUUGAACUUGUCAUUGGAAACAAGCUGCAACCAUCAUGUUAGGCCAGAAAAGGAGUUAUGUCUUCUAAAGACGUAGUAAAGAUGAACGCCAAGAGCUAGGCAUAGAAUGCAGUGUGUUUUCAUGCCGCAACAUUGCUCUGUUAUUUCACUUAUGAUUCUUGUCAAGUACUCAGGGUAUCGUGGUAAGUUCAUUCUACAUUCGAUUGGUCGCUUAGAAAAUAUUAUCUGGACUCACUGUGUCGUUGAUGUAAUGAAGGGCGUUCAAAACCGACUCCAGAGAGACAUAUCUGGAGGUCAAUUUCAUAUUUGCUAUGUAGGCCAGAAAACAUAAGGUCAGAAAGAAGGUGGACCUUUCUUUACCUGCAUCAAGUCUCCGAUGUUGGCUAGAAGUGCUCCCUUCACGGGAACCACAUCAACCCAGUGGUUUUCUUGGAGGACUUGGAGGCCACCAUGGUGGUCUUGAAGGAGAAGAGUCAGAAACGAUGAGUCCGAGUGAUUAACUAUGCCGAGAGUCAAUUCCGGUUCAGGACAAGCUGGGUAGUAAUGGCCCAUCACUGUCUCCGAUUUCAUACACUCAGUGCCACUGAGAUAAUCAGAACCAAGGCCCAGUGCCUCUGAUAAUAGUUCGGCUAAAGAUGUCUUCAGCUCCGCGAUAUGUUUCUCGAACUUGGAAACUGCCUCCCUGCAAACGAGUAAAUGAAAUCACCGUGUGCGAGUUUCGAGUGUCAGGGUUUAUAGCAUUAUAUGCGUUCUUUUCUUUUGAAAAAAAAAAAUGCAUGUUGGACUUGGGGAACAACUUUUGCACUCCCUAAAACGAAGGUUAUUAACGAGUUUUCCACAACCAAGCUUUGAUCUGUAUGGAAAUGCAUCAUACACUGAAUGAUCUAAUUUACCUGGUUUCAGAUUUCUGAAAAUACAGAGUAUGUUAUUGGACCCCAACCUGUCCUGAGUAAAAGAAAUGCCCAAAAUUGUUCUCAUUUCUCUCGUAGCAACUUCAAUUAUUAACUUUCAUAAGUCAUACAUGUACCUGCAAAUAGGAGGAACAGCCUCUGGGUCGAGGACACCAUCCUGGAAAUCAAAUAUGACACUAUCUCUCCAAGUUGCUGCUUUUGACAGGAACAAGUCUCCAUUGCAAUAGUACCUCACUCUCUUCGUCCCAUCUCUGGAGUACAGCUCUUUCUUCGCUUCCACUUGUUGCUCAUGGAACUUCUUCACACCCUCCAACAUGCUGUCCAUCACAUCGAGCGGAACCCCGUGAUUGAUCAUCUGAAAGAACCCCCAUGUCUCCGAUGCUUCGCGAAUACCAUCAAUGACAUCUCGCCGCCGAAAAUCCUGACAGCCUCUUAGAUCGAUGAUCGGGACCUGGAGGCCAGUCCCAUUCGAGUUGGAGGACAAACCACGCAAGUUCUCGGGCGGGUGGAUGAAGAUCCUGGGGACCUUGGUCACGCCAGAGUCCACAAGGCCUUUGACUCCGGCCUUGGUCUCAUCGAAUUCCUGCAAUUCUUUCGCUCUGUCAUAAUCCCGGUCGCAACAAGUGAUGAAUUGUGCAUGACUGGACAAGGUUGGCAUCGUCUUGUAGUGACAAAGGUUGAAAUCUUGAUGAAUCUGAGCCCUGAUCAGGGGGAGGCUGUUACCAUGAGAGUGAUAUGAAGAUGAUUAGCUAGAGAGGCCAUUGCACAAAUAUGGUCAAGUCAACAGCCAAUGGCCAAGGGAACUAACUGUCAAAGAUUCCCCAGUGACGAGGCUGGCGGUAGUUGAAGAGUCCCUGUCGUGAUGUCAAAGAUGGUAACAAGUGGGCCCUUAAAAGAAAGACAGGUCCAGGAGACCCAAUUCUCUUCUCUUACGAGUUGCGCCCACCGAUUUGAAGCCAACAAUUCAGCAUUGUUUACAAUUGUUGCAGCUAGUUUAAGAGGAAAAAAAUUGGAAAAACUGAAAUGAGAAACGAACCAGGCGAGAGGGAAAGGGGUAUGGUUCAAGCUCGUCGGGACAUUUAAAUGCAUCGGAUUAAGGUUGUUUCGAAGCGCCCAGAUAGAAAUCGAAGCUUUAAUUAUCUAAAUGAAAAAAAAAAAUGCUUGGUUAAGCUGUAAUUUCCACUCAGUUGAAAUGUUAGGUCGCUGGAUUGAUUCUAGAGGUCGUUGUGGUAUGAAACUAUGUUGUAAAGAAACUUUAGGACGUCUUGGAAGUGUAAGAUUUUAUAUAAGUCAAUUCAAGAUUAUGGUUUGAUCGAGGUGACAUUUUGAGGUUUGUUAUACUAGAACCAUGUUCAAAUUAUUGUGCUUAACACCACUUUUCCCUAGUCCUUGGCCAUAUAACUCGCCCCUUUUAAUUAUGUUAAGUUAGUUUUUCAAUGGCUCUAGACCCACUUGAAAUAGGCAUUGAUUGAAUUCAAAUGAACCAUUUUAAAUUUGACGCACGAGUUACCGCAGUACAUUAGACAUCAAUAGCUAUUCUGCUUUAGUCGAGCUUUUGUUGGCACAUUGAAAUAGUUCUUUUAGUAGAUAAGCUUACUUUACUUUUGUCGAAUCUUAAUUAAGGUAGCUAUCUACUUAAUUUUGAUAUCCAUUUGUCACUUAAAGGAUACGAAUUCAAAUUUUUCCACUUGAGGUAGCUUUUGUUGUUGUGUUUCGCAUUUUCAAGUGAACAUGCUCAUCCCUUCUCUGAUUUGCAAACUAAUGUCUUAAAAAUGAUAGAAAUUAGAUAUUUUGCAAGUUAUGAAAGAGGUAUCAUCUGUUAUCCUUUUGGUUAUUGGAAAUGGCAUAGUAAGGUAUCUCUUGAAAUAAUUUGGGGGUAGAUUAUUUGUGAAAUGGUCUUGGAAUACUAUAUGAAAUGUAUUCUUCUUAAUGGAAGAAAAUGUGAAAGGUUAUAUACAUACAGCUAUAUAUUGAUUUGUGAACUUGAUUUAUAGAAAUGAAAUUUGAAAUAAUUUUAUGAUUGGUUGGAAGAGUGUGAUAAUGGUUUCAUGCCCUUGGCCCUAAAACAAUUGAAAGGAGUUUUGAGUGUGUAUAAUGUUCUCUGGGCAUCUUAUUUGGGCUAAACCAUCGACUGAUAUAGGUGAAGGCAUAUACCAAAGGGCAUCUUGGUAGACCUUGUCCCAGGGCAUUAAGUGUAGUUAUAGUUUGAUAUUGAGCACAUGAUUGACCAAUGAACUAGAUCAUUGACAUUUGUUAUGAUAUUAUUGAUUGAAUGAGUAUAUAUUAUAUGUAUAAAGUUGUAUUAAAUUGGUAUAACUAAUCUUUAAUGUAUUUUACAUGCUGAAUUUGGAUAAAUGUGUUUCUGGUAUUGUUUAAAUGUGCAUAACUGAUACUCAAUCUACUUAAAAGAGAUUUAUACUACUCAAUAAGCGGUAAUUUGCUCAGAUCAUUCAUCUUAGUUCUUUUUUAGGUUUUACAACUAGUAGCAAAUAGAAAGAGAGUGGAAUCAGUGAGGGAAUUUGGGAGUUCAAGUUUGGUAUGACUUAAGAUAGAAUGCUAUUUGUCAAGUUUAGUGUAGAAGUCACUAGAGAUGCACUUAUUCUUUUUUGUAGACUUUAGAACUAUGAUCAUGUAUCUAACUUGAUAUUGUAUCAUAUGUACAUAUAUAUAUAUAUAUAUAUAUAUAUAUAUAUAUAUAUAUUAUUUUCAUAAUAGAUUUGAUUUUGUAUAUGAGGCUCCAUGAUUUUCUCUAUACAUGAAGAUUUAGGGUGUGACCAAUAAGGGAUGGUGUGAGCGACCAAAUUGCCCAAACACUAAAAGGAGAGCUCUCAAGUCAAAUGAAACAUUAAUUUUGGGCAUUUUAUCACAAUAUUAGUUUCAUGGUAUAUGGAGAUCGACCUUCAAGGUUGGCAUGGCAAGUAAUGUGUCAUGUCACAAGCGGACUUUGUAUAAGUGAAUCAUAUCCGAGCCGAACUUGACAAGUUCUUUCGAGUAAAACUUAAAUUUGUUACAGCAAACUCCAAAGCCAACAUGAUUUGAUAAGUUUUAACAACAAGUAGAAGAACAAACAGGGCUUGGGGUGUCUCUAAAAGAAAAUGGCAUUCAAAAAUCAAUAUAGUAAAUCCCUGAAAGCUUAUUCAAUUUUGAUUCCAAUUUUCUUCCAGAUAUUUUCACAUUUUUACAUACUAAACUAAUUAUAAACUAGAACUAGCACUAAAAUCUAGUAAAACUACUCAAAAUCUAAUUUUUAAAUUUUUGCCUAAAUUUCUAAAUUCUUUAUUUUUUUAUUAUUUUUGCUCCAAAUCAUGGAGACUCGUAUCAAGUCUGGAGACUGGAAUUUAUGUUAAUUGUGUAAAGACGAGCAUUAAGUUAUAUUGAGUUUGUAUUUUUAAAAUGAACUUAAUUCUCUUUUUGCUCCGGGAACAAAAAAGUAAGCUUUUUCUAUUUCUCUUUUUGGUUCCAAAACUAUUUGCUAGCCACUAAUCCGUCCGAGAAAUAGAAAGCUUAGCUGAUAUUGCCAAAUGGAUCUAUUUUCUAUUUUCUCUGGUGAGAAACAAAAAGAACAGAAAAAUGGAGGAACAGAAAUGUUAAUAAACAAGACCUCAUAUUCUGCAGAAACAAGGAGAGCUAGUAGGCGCUGGGUUGCCAUCCAAUAUAUGGUCAGAUCGAAAGGGACUCGUAUCGUCUCAUGGUGAUCAAGUGCCUGGAUUAGAGUUUCUAGUUUAAUGAAACAUCCAAUCCAAUACUGAAGAACAUGGCCCCGGCCCACAAAAUAAACUAAGGGCAAUGCUGUUUUCGAGGAUUGACUAUAUAUCAGCAAUGAAAAACAAAUCGCUUUUAUUAACUAGCUACUAUCGUUCGAUCUUUCACAUUUAAAAUACCAGGGCGACAAGGCUAGUGUCAGGCGUUGAAACUCAGCGAUUUUCACCUACACAAUUGCAGAGCGUCGCGAGAAAUAUCGAACAUCUAAAAUCGAAAUGUACCUACUCCCGAAGAGAAUUUUUCGCAAGGCACUUGUACAAGCACGAACUAGAGCAAUACGUCCGCAACAGGCUUGAACAUACGCAAGAAAGCACAGCCCUACGGCAAAGGACCAAAACAAAAAAAAAAAUGUCGAAGCCGGUAGGUCACUACAUCGGCCACAUUUGGCUUCUUCAGCCCAGCUUUCACCAUCAACCGUCGAAACAGCUCUUGGAACACGUAUCAAAUAAGGCCUGUCAUUCUGAGACAGCCGCUGCCCGUUACGUAGCUCGUGAAUCACUGACUCCACGGAUGGCCUAUCAUAGAGAUACUCGUUGGUGCAAGAGGCAAUUCUUGCGAGUUUAGCCACCUCGUACUCGAAGAACCUUUUUUUCGUGGAUAUAUGCAUCGAUGAAAUCCUGAAAUCUGCAUGAUGUAGUAGCCAGACGCCUGGAGUGAUCUACAUUCUGCGUCCCCCACAGCAUUGGGAAAACAAUCACUCCAACCGCAUAGACUUCACUCUUAUCCAUGAACAGGCCCCGCAGACGUUUACUCUGGCUUUAGGUUGCCCACGGCAGCGGUAGCUUUGAGCAAUGAGAACACAACGUCUGCGUGUGAGGGGCCUGUGGAGACCAGAGUCCUAGAGCAACGGGUAAUAUUAGUUUGGUAAGAUCAUUCGAGAUCAAAAGCCGCAACUUGCAAGCAGAAGACGAUGAAGAUCAGUUGAUCCCCAACUCAAAGAAAGAUAAACAAAUAAAUUUGAUGUCACCUUAUGCAAUACGAACGCCACACUCACUACUCUGUAUUAUUACAUGACAGGGCAGUGACGUGAGUGAUGAUGUUACCAAUGCUCAGAUGUUUCGGCUUUUCUUGCCUCAAUCUGUUUUGCUGCUACAUGCCAUUGCAUUGAGGGCGGAUUCUGCGAGAUGUGCAUUUGGUCCUCGGUUCCUUCUGCUACGUGUGCCAUAUGCUAGGAGAAGGAUUUGGGGAUGAAAUCUGUGUGUGGUAUGAAGGACGAUACUUCGCAUUUUGUAUGCAAACAGAAAAUCAUGGAUUCAUGAAGGAAAAGGCGAAUGGUGAAGGUAUGUCCAAAACUAUUUUCCAAUGAAUGGUGGUAGUACUUAAAGAAAAAGCGCACAUUCGGUUCAUCAAUUUGCACUCUUUUUCCAAUGUCAAUGUCAAAUUGUCAUGCAAUCAAAUUUUUGGACUUGUAGAAUUUGUCUAAUCUAGGCAAUUGCUCUGACUCGGACAAGUUGAAGCCAACAUGCUUAUUGAUGCUAGAAAAAAAUAUGAUGUAAAUUGUUGACGAUCAAUUUCUACUGAUCAACUUGCACAACGAUUAAGCAAAUGUUCAGCACCUUUUCAUAAGGUUCCAUCACUUAUUCCAAGAUCAAAAUUUUGGCUGAAAUUGAUUGACACGCUAGUUUCCAUUUCCUGGAGCUAGUAACAAAAAGAUUUGACUGAAGAAAGUUUUUUUCAAUAUUGUAGAUUCAUAACGACCAAUCUUCCUUUGCAUCUAAAACUCGAUGCAUUUGAAGAACGUAGCCACAUUCCACUAUGCAUCAGAAGAAUCAACUUUGGCAUUGAUUUCUUUUAGAUGAGGAAGAUUUUAUUGCACAGAUCGAAAAAGGAAGUCACAAAGUCCUGCCACAAACUCAGAUACAUGAUAUAGCCGGUCAAGACACACUCACUCAGGCUUUGCCACAACUCUGCUCUAUUUGGAGUUACUUAUCCUGAAGUGAGGAAGUGCUGAAUUGCCACUCAAGCCAUGGGAAGUAUAAUGGGUGACGUAUUCCGAAAGAGAGGUUUCUUUGUAUAUGGGUGGAUUGUUUUCAGAGAGAAGCUCCUUUAUUGGCCCAAAGGGUUUGGUUUUUUGCAUCCGGCUCCAGGUGAAAAAGCAUGCGACUGAAACCCUCGGUCCGUCCCGCCCAGCGAGUACUCGGUGCUGCACGCUUUUGAACUUGUCAUUGGAAACAAGCUGCAACCAUCAUGUUAGGCCAGAAAAGGAGUUAUGUCUUCUAAAGACGUAGUAAAGAUGACCGCCAAGAGCUAGGCAUAGAAUGCAGUGUGUUUUCAUGCCGCAACAUUGCUCUGUUAUUUCACUUAUGAUUCUUGUCAAGUACUCAGGGUAUCGUGGUAAGUUCAUUCUACAUUCGAUUGGUCGCUUAGAAAAUAUUAUCUGGACUCACUGUGUCGUUGAUGUAAUGAAGGGCGUUCAAAAUUGACUCCAGAGAGACAUAUCUGGAGUCAAUUUCAUAUUUGCUAUGUAGGCCAGAAAACAUAAGGUCAGAAAGAAGGUGGACCUUUCUUUACCUGCAUGAAGUCUCCGAUGUUGGCUAGAAGUGCUCCCUUCACGGGAACCACAUCAACCCAGUGGUUUUCUUGGAGGACUUGGAGGCCACCAUGGUGGUCUUGAAGGAGA
rnacentral:lncRNA from 1 species